UCCAUUCAACUUUUUCCCAAACAUCCCGACAGCCCAUUGCCUCACUCUCACUCCAACUCUCACUCUCCAUUGCCUUCUUCCUCCUCGCAACACCCAUUGCCUCCAUUGCCUUCAUGCCAUCAACGAUGCUGACCCACCAUUGCGCGACAUUGCCUUCACGCUGACCCACUCUUCCUCUCCAUUGCCUCCAUCGCUUUCACUUCACGAGCACAGACCCACCAUCGCGCCAGACAGUAGCUUCGCGCUCGGACAGAGGUAGACGGAUCCACCAUCUGCUUGAUUGUGAGUCAAUUAUUGUUCAGCUGAUAUGAUUGAGCACAUCCAGAAAACAUAGCCUUAAUCGCCAACUGCUAUAGUAUGUAAAGAUGUCCUGCUAAUAAACAGUUCCUACUACUGUUUGCAAAAUAUUUACUAACGUGCUAUGAAUUACUUGUUAUAUUAUAAAUUAAAUUUAAAUUUCAUUUAUAUUUAAUUGUGUAGAUAAUACUUAACUCAUAGUUAAUACUUACUCUUUGAGUUUCUAAACUAGACUUAGUACUUACUAAUUGAGUAUUUGGGUUAAUUUACUUUUUAAAGUUUUUUCUACUUGCUAAUGCAUUAAUUAUUAGCACCUACUUGAUGUACUUCAAUAUGCGUAUAGAUCGUGGUUGGAUGUAUAGUAGGUUAAAGGAUGGCCUAUUCAAUCCUGAAUUUUUACAUGGUCUAAAUGAGUUUGUGAAUGAAGCAAAAAGACACAGAAAUACAUGAAUGGAGAACUCAUUUGGUGUCCAUGCAAUAGAUUUAGGUGUCAAAAUCGCUCUUUUCAAGAUGAAAGUAUUGUUAGGUAUCAUCUAAUCAAGUUUAGAUUUGUACCGAACUAUCAAGAUUGGUACUUGCAUGGUGAGGAACAGUCAUACAAUAUGGAUCCAAUGGCAGAUAACAACACUGAUAGCUCACAACCUGAAGAUGAGCAUCAACCUGCUUUACAUAGUUUUACAGGAAUGGUUAUGGAUGCGGCUAGACCAAACUUUACUCAGUUUGAUAGAAAUGAACAGCCAAAUGUUAGAUGUUGUGAACCAGGAUUUAUGGUCGGGAUGUCAAAAUCACUCUUAGUUAUCAGCAGUUGCUCGGAUGCUUAACAUCAAGUCCAAGGACUUGAGCAUCAUUAGCUAAUGAAAUACUUUCGACAAAUAAUGUGAUGACUCCUAAUUUCUACAGUACAAAGAAACUAGUAUGAGGGUCAGGUCUCCCAGUUGAGAAGAUUCAUUAUUGUGUUAAUAGAUGUAUGCUUUAUUGGAAUGCAAAUAGCAACUUAACUGCAAGCAAGGUCUGUUAGCAUCCAAGAUAUAACAAACGAACAUAUACUCGGGGAAAUCAGAAAACAAAUGUCCCGUACAAGAAGAUGUAUUAUUUUCCCCUAAUUAAGAGGUUGUAAAGGUUGUAUGCAUCGAAUGCCACAGCAAAGUACAUGACAUGGUGCAGUGAUCAUGUUUUUGAAGAUAGGGUGAUGCGUCAUUGUGUUGAUUGUCCUGCUUGGAAGCACUUAAAUUCUACUUAUCCCUCUUUCUCAGUUGAACUAAGAAAUAUCAUACUUGGAUUGUGCAUUGAUGGAUGCCAACAGUUUAGUCAAUCUGGUCAACAAUACUCUUCAGAGCCUAUUAUUUUGACCUGUACAACUUACCACCUGACAUGUGCAUGAAGAAUGAGUAUAUUUACUUGACAAUCAUAAUUCUUAGCCCUAGAAAUCCAAAGGACAGGUUAGACGUUUAUUUGCAGCCUUUGAUAGAAGAAUUAAAAUAUUUGGGGUCGAGACUUAUGAUGCACAUAGAAAAAAUAAUUUUAUUUUGCAUGCAACCAUUAUGUAGACUAUAAGUGAGUUUCCGACAUAUGCCAUGUUAUUCGGUUUGAGUACAACAGGUUGUACAAUUUUUCCAUACUGUAUGGAAAAUUCUGAUGCCUUUACUUUACCAAAGAGAGGUAAACAAUGCUAGUUUGAUAAUCAUUAGAAGUUCUUUCCACCUAAUCAUUCAUUUCGUAGGAAUAAGACAUCUUUCUUUAGAAAUCGCACAGUUGCUAAGUCUGCUCCCCUAAUUAAGACAGGAGAAGAUAUUUUACUGCAAAUUGAGUCUCUUGGUUUGAAGGAGGUUUUUGAAUCUAAUGCAGAGGAAACUAACAAUCAAAUUGGAAGAACAACUUGUUGACGCAAAAGAAGCAUAUUUUGAGAUUUGUCUUAUUAGAGGCAUUUGCCGAUUCGCCACAAUCUAAAUGUUAUGCAUAUUGAAAAAAAUGUGUUUGAUAAUAUAUUCAAUAUUGUAAUGCAAGUUGAAGGUAAGUCAAAGGACAAUAGGAAAUCAAGGGAAGAUUUGAAGGAUAUUUGUGGAAGGUCUGAGUUGAACAUGGAUGAAAGAACUGGCAAAUAUCCGAAGAUAAGUUGCAUACUAUGACGUAGAAUCUUAUGGCACAAGUCUCAAAUCCACACGCACAAGUAGAUGUGGAAUCCAAAGAUUUGAUAAACUCACCUCCUAUGACACCCUACACUUAGAAAAGCUGAAACCAAUGAUCGAAAGAUUUAGAUGAGAAUCAGACAAACGUUAUAAUGAAUAGUUGAUAAGUUAGCCAAGAUUCUUGGUGCAAUUGAUGAAAGCAAAUCCCCACUCUCACUCAAAGCAAGAAUUCUGAAAAUUUAGAUUUAAAACUGUCUCUUACAAGUGUUUCUUAUCCUUAUAUAGUAAGGAAAAAACAAAUAAAACUCUAAGACACUCUUAUUAGACCUGGUUGAACCACACAUAAGGGUCAAGUCCAAUCACACUCUAAAAUAACACCUCAAACUCAUAAAUAUUAAAACGUAAGCCCAAGAUAUGGCCCAAUACUCUAAAACUUAAAAGAUAAAUUAUGGUCAGAAUAUAAGUCCAAACAAGACCAAAAUAAAACAAGUGUUUAAAUAAUAAAACAUAGCAAGCUCAUUAUGACAAAACUGAAUCUUCACAAAAGUCUUUCUUGAUCUUCAGUUUAGGCUUCCUUUGUAUAGUUUUGGCCCAUAGGUUUGAUUAGGCUCCCUAAACCUAAGCCUAUGAUUGUAAGUGUUGCACCAAAUCUACCCUAUAUGAGUCGAAGCACGCCCCAAAUGUAUAUGGAUCAUAUGAAUAUGAUUUUGAACUCCUUUUAGAUCUAUUUGAAUGAUAUAAGUUUGUUCCACACUAUUGUUAGAAAUUUGCCCUAUUGGAUCCGUAUCACACUAGAUAAGCACUCUAAAAAGGUGUUAUGUAAUUGGGUGAAAGCUUAAAUUUCUUAAUGGAUAUAUGUCAAAUCUUAGUAGAUGUGCUGACAUGAGAGCACUCAGGCUAUUUAGAUUAAAGAGCUAUGACUGUCAUGUUUUCUUACAACGUCUACUACUGAUAGCUUUUCGAGAGCUAUUACCAACUAAUGUCUGGGGACCAUUGAUAAAAGUUAGCAAUUUUUUUUAGAGAAAUAACAUAUAGUACCACAAGAGAAGUGAACAUGUUGCAAUUAAAUGAGCAGAUACCGUUGAUACUAUGCAAAUUGGAGCGCAUUUACCCUUCAAGUUUUUUGAAUUCAAUGGAACAUUUGCCAAUGCACUUGGCUUGCGAAGCAUUAAUUGCUAGACUAGUUCAAUAUCGUUGGAUGUAUCUAUUCGAAAGAUAUCUAAGGAAGCUAAAGCAAAAUGUCAAGAAUAAGGCAAAAGUAGAAGGCUCAAUAUGCAAUUCAUAUAUUGUUGAAGAAGCUUCCACAUUCUGUGCGUAUUACUUUGAGCUGCAUGUGAUGACAAGGUAUCGCAGAAUUCCUUGCAAUAUAACUAUUCAAGACGAUGUUGAGCAAAAUACUGGAAAUUUGAGCAUAUUUAAAAUGGCAAGGCAUACACUUGGAAAGGGAAAACUGACCUUAUACGGAAGACAAUGAAUAUAAGGCAUCACAAAUGUACAUCUUUCUUAAUUGCUAGGAAGUGAAGCCCUACAUUAAAUGAAAGGACGAACAUUUGAUAGAGGAACAAGUCGAUCAAGACCAAAGAGGCAUAGUCAAGGCAAACUUAGCAUUCCAAAUAACACACAUACUGCUUCUCAUUUUUGCCAGACAUCACCAGUUGGCCUAGAUGUUGCCCCUCCUAGUCACAAGCUGUUCAUCUAGAUUCACAAACUUUGAUUGAUUCACAGACUGCUCCUCUACUAGUAGAUACAUAGAUGGAUAUUUUACUACCUACUGCAUUAACUUUACCCACAAUAGUGUCAUCAAGACCACAUGUUGCGUCUAUAUCAUCUCAUAUGUGUGGACAUUUACCACCAUCUACAUAGACUCGUCCUUCACCUCCCAAUGCCUUUGCUCCAUUAUCACAUACGCGUGCAACAUUUAUUCCAGCUUCAUCAUCUGCCUGUGCCCCUUUGAUUUCUUCUGCAUCUUUUGCUAAUGUCACUUCUGGGUUGCAAACUUUCAAACAACCAGUUUUAAUUUAUAAUUCAUUUUUGCACCCAUCAAAGAUCUAUUCACAAUGGAUAACAUUGACAUUUAAGGAGUGUCUAGUUGCAAAGCUAUUGUUGGAAGACAGUGCUGGAGGAGACAAAGGAAUUAUACUGAAAUAUUUUUUGUAGGAAGAAGCCGUGGAAAGUCUUGAGAAAUAAGCAUGGAGGAAGAAGGCUUCUGAUCGGUACAAGUGGCUAAUAUGUGAAGUAAAAAAGGGGAAAACAAAGAAUAUAGCAGUAUCUAAUCAUGUAUUGAAGAAAUGGCAAGAGGCAUGGAGCAUAGAUGAAUACAAAGCAAAGCGUUCAAAAUUUGCCUGGAACCGAAUGAGUGAGAUUGGUGGAUCUGGCAUUGGAAUAUUUAAAUAUAGCUGUGGAUCCGUUUGAUAGUUUACGAGGAUGAAAAUGAUGAAAAAUAAAGAUUUGGUUAAAAAUAGCCUAAAAAGUAUAAAGAUUAAUUUAACCAGAGCAAUUUAGGCAAAUCACCCACAGACUGACCAAGAGGAUUGCACAAAUUUACUGGAAGUAUGAAGCUGAUCUUCAGGUUUCGAUUUGCCCAAAUCAAUGGCCAAAUCGAAAGUGUUACACAUAAACCUGGAAUUGGUCUGCAGACACUGAUUUGCCCAAAUUAAUUUGCGCAAAUUGACAAACUUCACAAAAGUCAGAAUACACAGAAAUUCGGAAGUGAUCGGCAGAAACAAUUUGCCCAGAGUGAUUUGCCCAAAUCGAUAGAUUGACAGAAGAUUGUACGAAAACUCAGAAUUGUCUUAUCUUGUAGAAACAGUUCGCAGACAAUGAUUUGACCAAAGAUUUGCCCAAAUUAAUGGGCAAAUCUACAGAAGCGGUAAAAAACGAGCAGAAAGCGGGAAAAUAAAAAAUUCAAAAUACAAAAGUUCAAUUCAUCUCCAACGCACGGGUGACACAUCAUAAACUCAUCAAACUCUUGGCAAAAAGAAUUCCUGCACUCAAGAAAGUCUAUUUAUGGAGAAACACAAUCAAGGAAGGAAUAAAAAACCAAAUCAAAGAAGAAUUCCAUCAAACAAGAGGCUGCUGCUAGGGUUUUUAAAAUAUCUAUUUAAACACAGCAAGAACAGCCGUAGAAGAGGGAGAAUCAUGCAGACCUGAUUCUGCACAACACCAAAUCAAUUUCUUUCAUUUUUUCUCCUUUGUUUCUUGUUUGUAAAAGCUAUGAGUGUGCUGAAAACUUAAUUUCUAAUUGAAGUUAAGAGAAAUUUCAGUUUAUAUAUGAAUUGGGAGAUUUGAAACUC